rnacentral:rRNA from 1 species
UACGGAGGGGGCUAGCGUUGUUCGGAAUUACUGGGCGUAAAGCGCGCGUAGACGGUUCUUCAAGUCAGGAGUGGAAGCCCCGGGCUCAACCCGGGAAUUGCUCUUGAUACUGUUGGACUUGAGUCCGGGAGAGGAUAGUGGAAUUCCCAGUGUAGAGGUGAAAUUCGUAGAUAUUGGGAAGAACACCAGUGGCGAAGGCGGCUAUCUGGACCGGUACUGACGCUGAGGCGCGAAAGCGUGGGGAGCAAACAGG